UCUCAAAUCAGGUAGGACUACCCGCUGAACUUAAGCAUAUCAAUAAGCGGAGGAAAAGAAACUAACAAGGAUUCCCCUAGUAACGGCGAGUGAAGCGGGAAGAGCUCAAAUUUAAAAUCUGGCAGUGUAUUCUGUCCGAGUUGUAGUCUAGAGAAGCAUCAUCCGUGCUGGACCAUGUACAAGUCUCUUGGAACAGAGCGUCAUAGAGGGUGAGAAUCCCGUCCUUGACAUGGACUGCCAGUACAUUGUGUUGUGCUCUCAACGAGUCGAGUUGUUUGGGAAUGCAGCUCAAAAUGGGUGGUAAAUUCCAUCUAAAGCUAAAUAUUGGCGAGAGACCGAUAGCGAACAAGUACCGUGAGGGAAAGAUGAAAAGCACUUUGGAGAGAGAGUUAAACAGUACGUGAAAUUGUUGAAAUGGAAACGCUUGAAGUCAGUCGCGUUCGCUGGGAUUCAGCCUUGCUUUUGCUUGGUGCAUUUCCUGGUGUUACGGGCCAGCAUGGAUUUCGACCGGUGGAGAAGGGUUGGGGGAAUGUGGCACCUCCGGGUGUGUUAUAGCCCCUUUCCGCAUACGCCGGCUGGGAUUGAGGUUUCAGUGCAC
rnacentral:rRNA from 1 species